ACAAGUCACGUUUCAAUAUAAUACAUGUUCAAACAAAAACAAACGAAAAUUGUUCAGUUACUCAGAAAAAUUAAACUAAAACGUAAGUGUACUAUCUUUGCAAAAUUUCAAAUAAAAUCAAAAAAGAAAGUAUAAAUGAAAAUAAAGCAAGCAACAAUGUUUGCUGUAACUCGCUUUCUCAAUUAUGUGGACCAGUUUAAAGCAAUUGGCUCGAAUAUAUAUAAAAUUCUUAAUCGGAACAGUUUUUAUCGCAUGGUUUUUAAAUCUUCAAUCAUCUUUCUGCUGGGCACCUAUGUGACAAAGGAGUUUGAGGCACAUGCGUUAAUUUAGCUUCAAUUUUGUAAUUUUAUAUAUGCCAAAUUUGAUGUAUGUUUUGAGUCAAAAUAAACCAAAUCGGAGCACCGAGAUAUGUCUAAAUGUAUAUUAAAUGCA